rnacentral:rRNA from 1 species
AGCAUGUGGUUAAUUCGAAGCAACGCGAAGAACCUUACCAGGCCUUGACAUGCAGAGAACUUUCCAGAGAUGGAUUGGUGCCUUCGGGAACUCUGACACAGGUGCUGCAUGGCUGUCGUCAGCUCGUGUCGUGAGAUGUUGGGUUAAGUCCCGUAACGAGCGCAACCCUUGUCCUUAGUUACCAGCACGUUAUGGUGGGCACUCUAAGGAGACUGCCGGUGACAAACCGGAGGAAGGUGGGGGAUGACGUCAAGUCAUCAUGGCCCUUACGGCCUGGGCUACACACGUGCUACAAUGGUCGGUACAAAGGGUUGCCAAGCCGCGAGGUGGAGCUAAUCCCAUAAAACCGAUCGUAGUCCGGAUCGCAGUCUGCAACUCGACUGCGUGAAGUCGGAAUCGCUAGUAAUCGUGAAUCAGAAUGUCACGGUGAAUACGUUCCCGGGCCUU